UACGGGAGGCAGCAGUGGGGAAUAUUGCACAAUGGGCGCAAGCCUGAUGCAGCCAUGCCGCGUGUAUGAAAAGGCCUUCGGGUUGUAAAGUACUUUCAGUCGUGAGGAAGGUGUUAAGGUUAAUAACCUUAGCAAUUGACGUUAGCGACAGAAGAAGCACCGGCUAACUCCGUGCCAGCAGCCGCGGUAAUACGGAGGGUGCGAGCGUUAAUCGGAAUUACUGGGCGUAAAGGGCACGCAGGCGGUUAAUUAAGUUGGAUGUGAAAUCCCCGGGCUUAACCUGGGAAUGGCAUUCAAGACUGGUUAGCUAGAGUCUUGUAGAGGGGGUAGAAUUCCAUGUGUAGCGGUGAAAUGCGUAGAGAUGUGGAGGAAUACCGGUGGCGAAGGCGGCCCCUGGGACAAAGACUGGACGCUCAUGUGCGAAAGCGUGGGGAGCAAACAGGGAUUAGAUACC
rnacentral:rRNA from 1 species